rnacentral:rRNA from 1 species
AGAGUUUGAUCCUGGCUCAGGAUGAACGCUAGCGGUAGGCUUAACACAUGCAAGUCGAGGGGUAGCGGGUGUAGCAAUACAUGCCGACGACCGGCGCACGGGUGAGUAACGCGUAUGUAAUCUACCUCUAACAGGGGGAUAGCUCGGGGAAACUCGGAUUAAUACCCCAUAAUAUUGUUUUCCUGCAUGGGGAGAUAAUCAAAGCUAAGGUGGUUAGAGAUGAGCAUGCGUGCCAUUAGCUAGUUGGUAGGGUAAAGGCCUACCAAGGCGACGAUGGCUAGGAGGUCUUAAAGGAUGAUCUCCCACACUGGUACUGAGACACGGACCAGACUCCUACGGGAGGCAGCAGUGAGGAAUAUUGGUCAAUGGACGCAAGUCUGAACCAGCCAAGCCGCGUGAAGGACGAAGGCUCUACGAGUCGUAAACUUCUUUUAUAAGGGACUAAAUGACUUUAUGUAUAAGGUUUUGAAUGUACUUUAUGAAUAAGCAUCGGCUAACUCCGUGCCAGCAGCCGCGGUAAUACGGAGGAUGCAGGCGUUAUCCGGAUUUAUUAGGUUUAAAGGGUGCGUAGGCGGGAUUUUAAGUCAGUGGUGAAAACCCUCAGCUUAACUGAGGAACUGCCAUUGAUACUGAGGUUCUUGAAUGCAGUUGAGGUAGGCGGAAUGUGCAGUGUAGCGGUGAAAUGCUUAGAUAUUGCACACAACACCGAUAGCGAAGGCAGCUUACUAAACUGUGAUUGACGCUGAUGCACGAAAGCGUGGGGAUCAAACAGGAUUAGAUACCCUGGUAGUCCACGCUGUAAACGAUGAUCACUCUCUGUUUGCGAUAAACAGUAAGCGGUACAGCGAAAGCAUUAAGUGAUCCACCUGGGAAGUACCGCCGCAAGGUUGAAACUCAAGGAAUUGACGG